UCCCUCUCGCUCUUCGUUCUCUCUCCCAAGAGACUGCGAGUGAAUACAUAAAUAUGAGAAAUCUGGUUUGAUGCGUAAGAAAGAAAUGACAAAAGUUUCUAGUGCAUUGUUGGACACAAAUUCUGUUUCCAUGGAUGAGAAAGCUCUGGAUCUGUUUUUAACACCGCUGCCUCCGAUCGAUACCGUCGCCAGCGAAGACGACGCAUUCGAAAGCCAGAGAAGACGAAAUCCGAUGAGAUCUCCAGAUCAGAUAUCGCAUCGCAAUCUCCGGUCGUCGUCGCGAGCUUCCAGACGGAGCUUCCACCGUCCGGCGGCGUGAGUUUGAGAGAUCCUAGCCGAGAUGCCAUGGACGGCAAGAGAUGAGGAGAGAGAGAACCAGAUCGAUGAAAGAGAGAGAAUUUGGAUGUUUUUGAGAUGGAUUUUUCGGUGGAGGAUUCGGGAGAGUUAGAACGGCUGCCUAAAAAAUUCAUCUAUUUCUCUUUCCCCACUUACUUUUCUCGGCAACCAAACAAACCAGAGGCAGCAACGGGCAUGAAUCUUCACUGUAGAAAUACAAAGAAGUUACUCAAGUUGCAGUGGGAAGGGGAACUCGAAUAAAGCAGGGUAACUCAAAUUAAUUUUUGAGUUUGAGUUUGAGUGUCGUUCGAGUUCUCACACGUCGAACGCAGACUUGAGUAAAGUUUACUCUCGAGUGGGUCUUUCUCGAGUAAAAUAGAGCAACCGAA